AUAUCCCAAAACAUGCUAAGUUUGUGUUCGAACGCAGCCCUGGCUGUUCCAGCUGCUGCGCGCGUAUUUUGAACUGAUGGAUUGAAAAUGUAGGUCAGGAUUCUGCGCAUAAAAUACCUACUGGAAAUGGAGAGGGGAUUCUAACAGUAAGCUACUAAUUCGUUUCACUUGGGAAACCUUAUAUAACUUUAUGUCUAGAUCACCAUCGGAAAAUCUAAAGGUCACGUUUUCGACCCAGUCGAAAAUAUCUUGGGCCUUACAUGGUUGAAUUAAAUCUCUUUGUUAUAUUUAUACCUAUUCCGAUCUUAUUUCUCUUUAUCGGAACAGCCUAGUCCUACUGAAUAAUGCAAACGAAAAAGGCCUUUAUUGUAGUCUCUCUUUUUUAAAUCGAUCAGCUGAUUUCGAUGCCUAAUUAGAAAGCAGACGACUGAAUACAGGAAAAGAUGAACGAAUAAUUUCAUAUUCAUGCACACGCACAUGUUCAUCAGCCGUGAAACAAUGAGUCUCAUAAAUGAGAUCAGACUUAUCUAUAAAGCUGCUGUUGAUGCUGUGAGACCUGGCUUCCUUGUAAACCAAGCAAUCAAAUAUUCAGACAAUGUAGUUCACAUUCAGGGAGAACUAGAGCUUGCAGUGGACAGGAAUUGCCAUGUUAUAGGAUUUGGAAAGGCUGUUUUGGCAAUGGCUCUGCAAAUAGACAAGAUUAUUGGGCAACACAUUGUGAAAGGAGUCAUAUCUAUACCUCAUGGAGUGGCUGCACAGUAUAGCUUGCCAGAUCAGUUCUUGAAUCGGUACACCAUCUAUGAAGGGGCUGUAAACAACAUUCCUGAUGAAGGUUCUUUAAAAGCUACCAAGGAAAUAGAAAACAUGGUUGCAAACUUGAAAAAUGAUGAUUUGUUGUUUGUAUUGGUAUCAGGAGGAGGUUCUGCAUUGUUGGCAUCCCUAGCUGAGGACCUCUCUUUAGAUGAGAAAAAAAAAACCAUCAAUCUACUGUCCAAGUCUGGCGCUAAUAUUCAAGAACUUAAUUCAGUGAGAAAGAAAUUGUCCCGGAUCAAAGGUGGCAAACUGGCGCAGCUUUCGUACCCUGCUACAACAAUUGCCUUAAUUCUGUCAGAUGUUAUUGGUGAUCCACUUGAUGUCAUCGCCAGUGGGCCCACGGUGAAAAACAAGGAUCCUGCGAAUAUAGGCUUGGAUAUUAUUCAAAAGUAUCAGCUUGGCAAUCAGCUACCCACCCGAGUCGUAGAAUGCCUUUCGUCCCCGACCACAAGCAAUCUGGACGAUACAAUAUUUUCCCACGUACAUAAUUUUCUAAUUGGAAGCAAUCUAAGUGCACUACAAGCAGCCGAAGCUUACGCUAACCAGACUGGUUUCGCUACAGCUAUUUUAAGCGAUCGCAUUAAUGGAGAAGCUAAAGAAAUUGGUCUGCAGUUUGCUCGAUUAGCUCGCCUUUUCGCCCAGAUGAUGACCAUGUCAAAUGAUCAGCACGAAAAAAUGGAAGAAUUGUCCGUAACUGCCGAAAACUUACACAUAGACCCGCGUUAUUGUUGCACAUUGGAGCGACUUGUACGCAGUUGCCGCAACGCACGAAAAAACUUGUGUCUGAUUGGAGGAGGAGAGACCACGGUUUCAGUUCGUGGCGAAGGCCUUGGAGGUCGUAAUCAAGAAAUGGUCCUGAGUUAUUUAGUAGAGACUGCUGUUGAGGCAUGCUCAGACGAAUUGGAUAUUGUAUUCCUAAGCGCCGGAACAGAUGGAAUUGACGGACCAACUGCAGCAGCUGGGGCUUUUUCCUGUCAGAGCCAAUUUGCUCUAGCUCAGGCACAAGGCCUCAACCCUCGGACUUAUCUGGAUAACAACGAUUCUUAUAAUUUUUUCAACCUACUUCAACAAGAAUUGAAAUGAUUCAGGGUGUUAAACAGGAGGACAUUCUACAAUUUUGAUUCAUUAGUUGAUAUUUAUAUCCCAUCCUUCACCUGUAAUUUUGCGCUAUUCGCUAUUCGCUAUCAUGGACAAGGCUUUUGCUCAUCGUCCAAAGCCAAAAAAGCUGCUCUUUCUAAGCAACAGAAGUGGCUAAAAUAAGGUUGAUGCGACUGUGGCGAAAUCGAGUAUGACUCUAAAUGGCUUCGAAGUACGAUACGACUGCUUCUGUCUCGCUUAAUCACUGUCUUUCAAUGUUUGUAAACCCAAGAAGAAGCAAUUGGGAUUCGGAAUUCACGUUUUCUUGACGUCCAAUUACCGGAAUAUCGAGUGGUAUGGUAAAUAGAAUACCCUUUUUCGAUCUUUUGUUUAUUCGGCACAAACCAACCAUGAACAGGUUUUAACUGCACAGCGGGAAUAGCCUUUGUAUUGAACAACAUCAAAAGGCUUCCAUCAGAAAAGGCCGUAUAAUUGAUCAAUAAUAAUGCUGGGCUUUUAAUCGCUUUAUCGAAUGAAUUCAUCGAUUUACGUGACGGCAAUACUUUGUUUCUCAAGUCGUGGCUGUUGCUAAGGCUUUUCUCGGAAAGGCAAUAACUAAUAAACUGGGUUGCAAAUAGACAGUACACUUUUAACCCAGAAAAUAAUAUUCAGAAUUCUAGUAAUGAAUAUGGUGCAGAGGAAUGUAUAUUUUCACAAUUUCUUUCUGUAUUUCCUGUGGUAUAAUGCAGGAAAGCCCACUACCCACUUAAUUAAAAUGAGAAAGUAAAGGAAAAUUUUUGCCCAGCCAAUAAUGCAGGACACAGAAACAAUUAUCUACUUGUGUUGUUGAAUCAAUGCUCGCAGCUGUGUUUCGUUAGCUCCAGAAAACUCUGCCACCUGUAUGAAAUGCAUAUUAAAAUAAAUUGGUUUGGAUCUUUUCCAAAAGUUGA